rnacentral:rRNA from 1 species
AGCAGCCGCGGUAAUUCCAGCUCCAAUAGCGUAUAUUAAAGUUGUUGCAGUUAAAAAGCUCGUAGUUGAAUUUCGGGAUCAGUACGCUGGUCGUGCCUUUGGUAUGUACUGGUGUCACUGAUUCCUCCCUUCUGAAGAACCGUUAUGCCAUUUAUUUGGUGUGGCGGGGAAUCAGGACUGUUACUUUGAAAAAUUAGAGUGUUUAAAGCAGGCUCGCGCUUGAAUACAUUAGCAUGGAAUAAUGAAAUAGGACGUUUGAUCUUAUUUUGUUGGUUUCUAGGAUCGACGUAAUGAUUAAUAGGGAUAGUUGGGGGCAUUAGUAUUCAAUUGUCAGAGGUGAAAUUCUUGGAUUUAUUGAAGACUAACUACUGCGAAAGCAUUUGCCAAGGAUGUUUUCAUUAAUCAAGAACGAAAGUUAGGGGAUCGAAGACGAUCA